rnacentral:rRNA from 1 species
AUGGGUUCGCUCACGAAGGCGGCGGAGGAGGGGCCGUCCGCGGCGGUGGACUGGUCAGACGAGGCGGUCAUCUACGUCAACGGCGUCCGCCGCGUGCUUCCCGACGGCCUCGCCCACCUCACCCUCCUCCAGUACCUCAGAGAUAUCGGUCUUCGAGGAACAAAGCUUGGAUGUGGUGAAGGCGGUUGUGGUGCCUGCACUGUCAUGGUCUCAUGCUAUGAUCAAACUACAAAGAAAUCACAGCAUUAUGCAAUAAACGCCUGCCUGGCUCCACUUUAUUCUUUGGAAGGAAUGCACAUAAUCACAGUAGAGGGAAUUGGAGAUCGCCAGCGAGGUUUGCACCCAGUCCAGGAACGUUUAGCCGAGGCACAUGGUUCACAAUGUGGAUUUUGCACCCCUGGUUUUGUGAUGUCCAUGUAUGCACUGCUGAGAUCAAGUAAACAUCCUCCUACUGAAGAGCAGAUUGAAGAUAGCCUUGCAGGAAAUUUGUGUCGCUGUACUGGCUACAGACCAAUAAUAGAUGCCUUCCGCGUCUUUGCAAAAACGGAUGAUUCCUUGUACACAGCUUCACCUUCAGAAAAGGCUAAUGGCCAAGCUAUCUGCCCUUCAACUGGAAAGCCAUGUUCAUGCAGAAAUGAGACAGAUGUCAAUGCUAAUGAAUCUUCAACAUUGUCUUCCGUGAAAGUCUACUUACCUUGUUCAUACAACGAAAUCGAUGGAAAUUCAUACAGCGAGAAGGAGCUCAUUUUCCCCCCAGAACUGCAGUUGAGAAAAUUUAUGCCACUUAAAUUGAAUGGGUUUAAUGGGAUCAGAUGGUAUAGACCUCUUAAAUUAGAGCAGCUACUGUACUUGAGAUCUUGCUACCCAGAUGCAAAACUUAUCAUUGGUAACUCCGAAGUGGGAGUUGAAACAAAGUUCAAGAAUGCUCAAUAUAAGGUCAUGAUCUCAGUUACCCAUGUUCCAGAACUUCAUACCCUCAAAGUGGAAGAACAUGGCUUACACAUUGGUUCUGCAGUUAGACUCGCACAGCUCCAGAAGUUCCUCAAAAAUGUUAUUGCGGAGCGUGGUUCUCAUGAAACUUCGUCUUGCCACGCAAUACUACGGCAGUUAAAAUGGUUUGCAGGAACACAAAUCAGGAAUGUUGCUUCUGUUGGUGGUAAUAUUUGUACUGCUAGUCCAAUAUCAGAUCUAAACCCACUUUGGAUGGCCACUGGUGCAAAUUUCCAGAUAAUUGAUGUCAACAAUAAUGUUAGGACUACUGCUGCAAAAGAUUUCUUUCUUGGCUAUCGCAAAGUUGAUUUAAAGGCUGAUGAAGUAUUGCUCUCUGUUAUACUACCAUGGACAAGACCAUAUGAAUAUGUAAAAGAAUUUAAACAGGCACAUAGAAGGGAGGAUGACAUUGCUUUGGUGAAUGCUGGAAUGCGUAUGCAUAUAACAGAAGCUGAAGGAAACUGGAUAGUAUCUGAUGUCUCUAUUGUCUACGGAGGGGUAGCUGCGGUUCCACUUACUGCUGCAAAAACUGAAAAAUUCCUUGUUGGAAAGAAGUUGGAUGAUGGAUUGCUGGAUGAGACCUUUAAUUUAUUAAAAGAGGACAUCCCACUAGCAGAGAAUGCACCAGGUGGAAUGGUUGAAUUUCGCAGUUCACUCACUUUGAGUUUCUUUUUCAAAUUUUUCCUUUAUGUUACGCAUGAGAUGAACAUUAAAGGGUUAUCGAAGGUUGGGCUGGAUGCAGCUAAUAUGUCAGCUAUACAGUCUUACACUAGACCUGUUUCUAUUGGAGCUCAAGGUUAUGAAUCAGUAGGGCAAGGAACUGCUGUGGGACAACCAAUGGUUCAUAUGUCAGCUAUUCUUCAGGUCACUGGUGAGGCAGAAUAUGUUGAUGACACACCAACACCCCCGAAUAACUUACAUGCCGCUCUGGUGCUGAGUAAGAAGGCUCAUGCUCGCAUUUUGUCUAUCGACGAUUCAGUUGCCAAAUGUUCCCCUGGGUUUGCUGGUCUCUUUCUUUCAAAAGAUGUGCCUGGUUCCAACCAUAUUGGGCCAAUUAUCCAUGACGAGGAGGUUUUUGCAUCUGAUAUUGUUACUUGUGUUGGCCAGAUUAUUGGAAUUGUUGUGGCAGAUACCCAUGAUAACGCAAAAGUUGCUGCAAAUAAAGUAAAUAUCGAGUAUUCUGAGCUGCCAGCAAUCCUCUCAAUAUCGGAAGCUGUCAAAGCUGGUAGCUUUCAUCCCAAUACCACAAGAUGCCUUUCAAAUGGGGAUGUUGACCAAUGUUUUGCAUCCAAUACAUGCGAUAAAAUUAUAGAAGGAGAAAUUCGAGUCGGGGGUCAAGAGCACUUCUACAUGGAACCUCAAUGCACUUUUGUCUGGCCAGUUGAUUCUGGAAAUGAAAUUCAUAUGAUAUCAUCUACGCAAGCUCCCCAGAAGCAUCAGAAGUAUGUCGCUAAUGCUCUUGGUCUUCCACUAUCAAAAGUUGUUUGCAAGACUAAGCGUAUUGGUGGCGGAUUUGGUGGAAAGGAAACUAGAUCAGCAAUAUUUGCUGCCGCGGCAUCUGUAGCUUCCUAUUGUCUAAGAAGGCCAGUAAAGAUUGUUUUGGACAGGGACGUUGACAUGAUAACGACUGGACAGAGGCACAGUUUCCUAGGGAAAUAUAAGCUUGGAUUUACCAAUGACGGGAAGAUACAGGCCUUAGAUCUCGAAAUUUACAACAACGGUGGUAACUCACUAGAUCUGUCCCUUGCAGUCUUGGAACGUGCUGUUUUCCAUUCGGAAAAUGUGUACGCUAUACCAAAUAUCAGAGUCAGUGGGAAAGUAUGCUUUACAAAUUUCCCAAGCAAUACUGCUUUUAGAGGUUUUGGUGGUCCACAAGGCAUGUUGAUUGCAGAGAAUUGGAUUCAUCACAUGGCUACAGAACUCAAGCAGAGUCCAGAGGAGAUAAAAGAACUUAAUUUCCAAAGUGAGGGAACUGAGCUUUAUUAUGGCCAGUUGCUCCAGAAUUGUACAAUGCAUUCGGUUUGGGAUGAACUGAAGGCAUCUUGUAAUAUUUUGGAGGCUCGCAAAGCUGUAAAUGUUUUUAACAGUGAAAAUCGUUGGAGGAAGCGAGGCAUUGCUAUGGUUCCCACAAAAUUUGGCAUAUCCUUCACUGCAAAAUUUAUGAAUCAGGCUGGUGCUCUUGUGCAAGUUUACACUGAUGGUACUGUCCUGGUAACGCAUGGCGGGGUUGAGAUGGGACAGGGUUUACACACAAAGAUAGCCCAAGUUGCCGCCUCAUCACUAGAUAUCCCUCUAAACUGUGUAUUUAUCUCAGAGACAAGUACCGAUAAGGUUCCAAAUGCUUCACCAACAGCAGCCUCUGCCAGUUCGGAUUUGUAUGGUGCUGCAGUUUUGGAUGCUUGUCAGCAAAUAAAGGCUCGGAUGGAACCCAUUGCUAGUAGGGGGAAUCAUAAGUCCUUCGCUGAGUUAGCUCAAGCAUGCUACAUGGAACGGGUAGAUCUUUCUGCUCAUGGGUUUUAUAUCACCCCUGAUAUCGGGUUUGACUGGAUUGCUGGCAAGGGGAGUCCAUUUAAUUAUUUCACCUAUGGAGCCGCAUUUGCAGAAGUUGAGAUUGACACCCUAACUGGGGAUUUCCACACAAGGACAGCUGAUAUUGUCAUGGAUCUCGGCUAUUCGAUUAAUCCAGCAAUUGAUAUUGGCCAGAUCGAAGGAGCUUUCAUCCAAGGUUUGGGUUGGGCUGCCAUGGAAGAGUUAAAAUGGGGGGACGACAACCACAAGUGGAUUCGACCUGGACACCUUUUUACUUGUGGUCCUGGCUCUUACAAAAUACCCUCUGUAAAUGAUAUACCUCUCAAUUUCAAGGUUUCACUAUUGAAGGGUGUUCCAAAUCCAAGGGCCAUACACUCAUCCAAGGCUGUAGGAGAGCCACCGUUCUUCCUCGCUUCCGCCGUCUUGUUUGCGAUAAAAGACGCGAUCGCGGCGGCUAGGGCGGAGGAGGGCCAUCUCGACUGGUUCCCCCUCGACAACCCGGCAACGCCUGAAAGGAUAAGGAUGGCGUGUGUUGACUCCAUUACGAAGAAAUUUGCGAGUGUGUAUUACCGUCCCAAGCUUAGUGUAUAG